CGCGGAGCGGAUUCUGCUUUUAGGAGUACCCGCCAACAAGCGGGACCGAGCAGGAAUCAGCAUCUGGGAACAGAGCCCUUUGCUCCUCUCUCAGAAUGAACGGAGACCAGAAAUCAGAUGUUUAUGCCCAAGAAAAGCAGGAUUUUGUUCAGCACUUCUCCCAGAUCGUUAGGAUGCUGACUGAGGAUGAGAUGGGGCACCCAGAGACAGGAGAUGCUAUUGCCCGGCUCAAGGAGGUCCUGGAGUACAAUGCCAUUGGAGGCAAGUAUCACCGGGGUUUGACGGUGGUAGUAGCAUUCCGGGAGCUGGUGCAGCCAAGGAAACAGGAUGCUGAUAGUCUCCAGCGGGCCCGGACUGUGGGCUGGUGUGUGGAACUGCUGCAAGCUUUCUUCCUGGUGGCAGAUGACAUCAUGGAUUCAUCCCUCACCCGCCGGGGACAGAUCUGCUGGUAUCAGAAGCCAGGCGUGGGUUUGGAUGCCAUCAAUGAUGCUAACCUCCUGGAAGCAUGUAUCUACCGCCUGCUGAAGCUCUAUUGCCGGGAGCAGCCCUAUUACCUGAACCUGAUUGAGCUCUUCCUGCAGGUGUAUUGCAGACAGGGUCUGAUGCCCAGAGGGUGCCCAUGGUAGCCUUGGCCUCUAUAGGACAUGCUCAUCUAGCUGGUUUCAGGGUACAGGAUUGCAGGGUGCCUGGAAGGGAAAGAAAGCGAGGAAGGGUGUUGGGAAGUGGGGUUGUGGUAGUGGCAAGAAAGGGCUUCUCUGUCCUGUGUAAUUGGAAGAAAGGGUGAUAAAGGACUGUGUGUAUGAAUAUG
rnacentral:sRNA from 1 species